UAUUUGAGAAGGAUAUUUGAAAUAAUGAA
rnacentral:piRNA from 1 species